CGCUAAAGGAUGGACCCGCGGUGCAUUAGCUAGUUGGUAAGGUAACGGCUUACCAAGGCGACGAUGCAUAGCCGAGUUGAGAGACUGAUCGGCCACAUUGGGACUGAGACACGGCCCAAACUCCUACGGGAGGCAGCAGUAGGGAAUCUUCCACAAUGGGCGAAAGCCUGAUGGAGCAACGCCGCGUGAGUGAAGAAGGUUUUCGGAUCGUAAAGCUCUGUUGUUGGUGAAGAAGGAUAGAGGUAGUAACUGGCCCCUAUUUGACGGUAAUCAACCAGAAAGUCACGGCUAACUACGUGCCAGCAGCCGCGGUAAUACGUAGGUGGCAAGCGUUGUCCGGAUUUAUUGGGCGUAAAGCGAGCGCAGGCGGAAAGAUAAGUCUGAUGUGAAAGCCCCCGGCUUAACCGAGGAAUUGCAUCGGAAACUGUGUUUCUUGAGUGCAGAAGAGGAGAGUGGAACUCCAUGUGUAGCGGUGGAAUGCGUAGAUAUAUGGAAGAACACCAGUGGCGAAGGCGGCUCUCUGGUCUGUAACUGACGCUGAGGCUCGAAAGCAUGGGUAGCGAACAGGAUUAGAUACCCUGGUAGUCCAUGCCGUAAACGAUGAGUGCUAAGUGUUGGGAGGUUUCCGCCUCUCA
rnacentral:rRNA from 1 species